UUUACGCAGAAGGUGGUGAGUGCCUGGAAUAUAUUGUGGGGGUUGGGAGUUGCAGGAGAUACGUUAGUAGUAUUUUAAGGACAUUUUAGUAAGCAUAUGAAUAUGCAGGGAAUAUGGGUUCUGUACAGAUAGAUAAGGUGAUGGUCUUGGCAUUAUGUUUGGUACGGACAUUGUAGGCCAUACUGUUCUAUGACUCUACCCAGUCAUGGUAGAGGUUUCCAUGUUCUAUGCUACCUUGCCCUGAGAACUGGGUUUUAGCUUUUCAUGGACAUCUACUGAUAAUAGUUUCCUGUUUUAAUGUCUCUCUUUAGGCAGUGACAUUGUACAUUUGUUCCAAUUGGCUGUGGUAAUUUCAACAUCUGGCGAACAUUGGAAGAUCAAUGUUUAGACACUUAAGGGAGAAAUCAGGAGGGCACGAGAUAGCUUUGACAAAUAAGGUAAAGGAGAAUCCAAAAAGAUUCUAUGUAUUGUGGCGUUGGGGAUGAUGCCAGGUGCAGCAGUGACCACACCAACACUCAUAUUAGAGUGAACAUUUUAAUUACAGUGGUAAGAUAGUCCAGGACCACAUGGGGGCGCUGUCCCUCGCCAUCAAGGCACACAUGUGGUGAUCUCGGGCUUAUCCCUGCAGCUCAGCUUUGGGCUUGAAGAGGUGGUGCUGGUGGUCUUUGGAUUAUCCGCCCGAGAUAUGGGCCAAAUGGGAUUAGCUUAGAUGGGGCAUCUUGGUCGUUAUGGACAAGUUGCUCUGAAGGGCCUGUUUCUGUGCUGUAAGACAUGAUCUAAUCAAGUUUAUCCUAAGACAUUAUGGAAAGCUAGGGAAGAAAUUGCAGGGCACUGGUGGAGAUAUUUGUAUAACUGCGGGUGAGGUGUGGGUAGACUGGAGGGUGGAUAAUGCUGUACUACUAAACCUGAGAACAACUGAUUGAUGCAACUUACGAUAGAUGCUAUUGCUUUGGAAGGGAUUCUGAGAGACAGAAUCUACAUGGAUUUGGAAAUGAUUGGGGAUAGUCAGUAUGGCUUCAUGCGUGGGGAAUCGUAUCUCACCAAUUUGACCGAGUUGUUUGAAGUAGUGACCAAGAAGGAUGUGGGCAAUGCAGUAGACAUUGUCUGCAAGACCCUUUGACAGGGUAUCACAUGGCAGGUUGGUCUGAAAGGAUAGAUCAUAUGGAAUCCUGGGUGAGCUCAGACACACAAUUGGCUUGGAGGAUUCAGAAGGUGAAGGUCGAGGUACAGGCUUGAGGCCUGUAAUAAGUGGUGUGACACAGGAAUCCCGAAGGACUGGAGAGUAGCCAAUGUUGUUCCUUUAUUUAAGAAGAGAAGUAGAGAGAAUCCAGGGAAUUAUAGGCCAGUGAGCCACACAUCGGUGGUAGGGAAGUUAUUGGAGAGGAUACUUCGAGAUAGGAUUCUUAUAGGAUUUUGGAGGAGAAUGGGUUAAUGAGGGACAGUCAGCAUGCCUUUGGACAUGGCUGUCAACCCGACCACCAGGCCCGACUGAGGUCUGGCCAUGACCGCUCGCUCGACAGUGAGACCUGGUGAGUCUUGACCGCCGAUGCUGGGAUCUUGGUCCAUGGCGACAGCAGACACCAGCUACUCACCGGAUUUACAAAGGCCUAUCCCAAAAAACAACAGCACUCGGCAGAUGCCUAUCUCACAACUUGCCCCCAGGCCCAAUUAAGCAAAGGGCCUUACCUCAUGGAAUAUCCCACGUCAGGUCCCGAACAGGCCAUGACCCCAAUCUUCCAGAGAGCCUGACGCCACAAACCGGACCCAACCAGACGGAUGUACCCACCUCAUGGAAUGUCCCUCAUUGGGUCCCGAACAGGCCAUGACCCCAAUCUUCCAGAGAACCCAACACCACGACCCAGACUCGACUGGACACACCUACCUCAUGGAACGGCCAACUCCCUUCACCGACUCCCGGACAUGAGCAGGAACUGCCAGUUACCCCGAAAAUGGGACAUGUGCUGGUGUGUCAAAAGACUGACCAUCCACUUCAUCUACAUCUCUCAUUAUUUAAUAAACCUCUGUAAAAUCACCCCUCCUACGCUCCAAGGAAUAAAGCCCUAGCC